CAACCCUUAAGCUUAGCUUAGUAUUGGGAAUCUGCUUAACCGCAGCUCCUUAAAUCUAGUUGGCAGAGCACAGCUGUACUCUGAGCGUAGUAAUUCAUUAUCUCGCUUUCUGAAGACAGUUGUACGAUAGCCACAAACUUUGCAUCUUGCAAACUUUUUAAU
rnacentral:misc_RNA from 1 species